rnacentral:lncRNA from 1 species
AUGAUGAUUUUCCUCUUCCAGCACUGGGUCUUGCUGGCUGUAGACUUGUUCCUUGCGAUGACCCUUUCCUGCCUCCUUUAUGCCUUUGUGUUUGUUUCCGUCGUCUUUUUGGCCUGCUGCAUUAUCUUCUUGUCCUUCGGCAUUGUGGAGAAGAACAUUGACGUAAAAGGGAGAGCAAUUGUCAUUCUCGUGUCCAACAGCUCCAUUGGGAGGACAUUUGCCAGGAACCUGGAUAAAGCAGGUUUUAGGGUGUCUGCUGCACACUGGCCUCCUCGAGAGGAGGGGAUGACCACGAAAGAAGAGUGCUCUUCGAGCAUGGAGGUAGCACAGCUCCACAUGACUGACGAUGAGUACCAGAAGACAGUGAAAACCUUCAUAGAAAGCCACUUGUCCCUGAAAGGCCCUGCGCAGGACAGCUGUGCUGGAAGGCAGAGCACUCACCAGGAGCCGCCCCUGCUGCAGGCACCCCCAGAGACACGGCAUGUACGGGCUGAUGAAGAAGCCGUCAAUCUUGAUAUGGGAAGAAGAGGAGCCAGACACAUGCAGGUCACCCGGGAGAAAAACCUCUUACACAUGGAAAAGGGUUUUCAAGAGCCCAGCAAAGAGAGUGAUGACAAAAAGCUGGAAAAGCAGGCAGACAAGCCCUCCUUCAUGAAACAGGAAAGCAAGAGGGCAUCUUCUCCUUUUCCAGGUGAUAUGCGCCCUCUGUGUCGCUGUCCUCUUCUGCCCACUGAACUGUGCCCUGACUUCCCUGAAGAAGAGAGCUCUGCAGCUCCUUGUGCCCCUGAAGCCCAAAAACUGAGAGGUGGUCGCAAACAGUUUGGUUAUUUGUGGAAGUAUUUUUCCAGGAACCGAAGCUAAGCUGACAGGUCUGUAACUGCCAACCUGCCAUUUAGCACCACUUCUGUACCAACGAGCUCGAGCCCGCACCUCGUAGCACCGGGCUCUGCUCCAACAGACCACUUUAGCACGCACUUAAUUGCAAGAGAGAGAGACGUCUGUGGCUGCAGGGGGGAGGAGUCGCACGGCUAACGUUACACGUGUGCUUGGAUAUUCCUCCAGCUCCUAACCAUAGGCACACCAAGGAAGCCCCCCCAAACCAAGCCGAACAAAGACAAUACACGUCUUCAUACAGUGCUUAUGACUUUAUGAGUGCAAAUACCAAUAAAUAUCAAACAU